rnacentral:rRNA from 1 species
CACGUAGGGGGCGAGCGUUGUCCGGAUUUAUUGGGCGUAAAGAGCUCGUAGGCGGCUCAGUAAGUCGGGUGUGAAAACUCCAGGCUCAACCUGGAGACGCCACCUGAUACUGCUGUGGCUAGAGUCCGGUAGGGGAGCAUGGAAUUCCUGGUGUAGCGGUGAAAUGCGCAGAUAUCAGGAGGAACACCUGCGGCGAAGGCGGGUUGCUGGGCUGACACUGACGCUGAUGCGCGAAAGCCAGGGGAGCGAACGGG